rnacentral:rRNA from 1 species
UGGGGAAUUUUUGGCAAUGGGGGCAACCCUGACCAAGCAACGCCGCGUGGGUGAGGAAGUACCUUGGUACGUAAAGCCCUUUCGGCAGGGACGAAGCAAGUGACGGUACCUGCAGAAGAAGCCCCGGCUAACUCCGUGCCAGCAGCCGCGGUAAUACGGGGGGGGCGAGCGUUGUUCGGAAUCACUGGGCGUAAAGGGCGCGUAGGCGGCCCGCACAAGUCUGCGGUGAAAACCCCCGGCUUAACCGGGGGCCGGCCGUGGAAACUGUCGGGCUGGAGGCUGGGAGAGGGCAGCGGAAUUCCCGGUGUAGCGGUGAAAUGCGUAGAGAUCGGGAGGAACACCGGCGGCGAAGGCGGCUGCCUGGACCAGUGCUGACGCUGAGGCGCGAAAGCUAGGGGAGCAAACAG